ensembl:lncRNA
CUUGGUGCAUUUGGGAAUACAUACUCUUAUUGAGAAAUAUCCCUGAGGUUAUAAAUAUAAACUGGAUUACCUCGCUAAGGUAUUUGCCACUUUGAGACAGUUGCUGUGUUACCAUAGUUAUAUGAGAGCUGGGACACUGAGGGAGAAUUUCUCACAAUACACCCUUGACACAGAGAAUGAAAGUUGAUUUAAUAUGGGCAUGUCCUUCUCAAAUGGACAAUGUCUUUACAUUUUCUUUUUCCAUUGGGUGAGACUAAUGGUACCCUACCUCAAAGGAGAAAAUAAUGAAAAGGGACCCCAGAAUGUGUCUCAGGUUUCUCUCCAAGAUGAAAAAAAUUGGGGGAGCCAAGAAAGAAAAGACAGAGGAUCUUGUCACAGUUACUGUGGCUGCCUAACAAAUGACUCCUAAACUUAGUGUUUUAAAACAAUGACAACAUUUACUUUGCUUAUAAAUCUACAAUUUGAGCAGGGCUUGGUGGGGAUAAUUUAGUUUCUGCUCCAGCUGGCAUCAGCUGUGAGCACAAAAGGCUGGAAUCAUCUGAAAGCACUCUCACUCACAUGUUUGGAAGGUAUUGCUCGAACCUCAGCUGGGGCUAUUAGCCAGAAAACUUACAUGUGGUUUCCCUAUGUGGCCUGGGCUGCCUCACAACAUGAUGACUGGGUUUCAAAAGCUCCAAGGGCAAAAGUACAGACUGAGAGCCAGGAUGGGAACUUUAUCAUCUUUUCUAACCUAGCUUUCUAAGUCAUGUAACAUCACUUCAACUGCAUUCUACUAAUUAGAAGCAGGUAUCUAAAACUGAUUUAUAUUCAAAGGGUAGGGAAUUAAACUCCACUUUUUGUGGGAGGAUUCAAAGAAUUUGUGAAUAUGUUUUAAAACUACUACCAUCUGUCCACUGGCCACAAAUUAUCUACAUUCCUUCUGUAUGCAAAAUACACUCAGACCUUCCCAAGCUCCUCCACAGGUUUCAUUUAUUACGGCACCAGACUCAGGUUCACCAUCCAUUUUACUCAGAUCUAGAUGUGGAUGAAGUGUUGCAGGUGUGGUUCCUUGAGUUCAGCUGCUCAUGUACAGCUUCUGUUGAGUUGAACACCUCUGAACUGAAAAGACCAGUUUUCUGCUCCAACUCACCCAACAUAUGUUGGUGGGAGAGACAUAGGACAACCACUUUUCGACCAACAUGGGAAAAUGGGAGGUGCACAGGAGUCACUGGUCCAUAGCAAUACUGAAAUAUGGCCAACCACAUGUUUCCAGUUUGUCAAUCAAGUCUCAGUCACACUGCCUUGGAGCGAUUCACUGCCUCUUUGCCCUUCCCCUCUGUGCUCUUGUCCUCUUUCCUAUUAGUUAACUAUUGCUACAUAAUAAGUAAUUCCAAAACUUAGUGGUUUAAAACAAUGAUCACCAUUAUCUCUCUUUCUAGGGGUCAGAAAUUCAGGAGCAGCUGGAUGGCUCUGGUUCAAGAUCUCUUGCAAGGCUGCAAUCAGAUAUUGGCCAGGGAUGUAGCCGUCUGUAGGCUUGGAAUCCACUUCUCAGGUGGCUUCCUUACGUGGUGUUGGUGUAAUGGUUGGGUUUUGGGUAAUGGUUGGAAGCCUCAAUCCUUCUUUAUGUGGGCUUCUUUACAGGAAUUCUUGAAUGCUCUGGCUUCCCCCAGAACAAGCAAUCUAAGAAGGAGUAAGUUGGAAGCCACAAUGACUUUAUGACCUAGCUUUGAAGUCACAUAUUAUCACUUCCACUGAAUUUUGUUUUUAAAGAAGCAAAGAAUCAAUGUAGGAGGGGACUAUACAAGGAUGUAAAUGUCAGGGAGUAUUAGGGGCCAUCCACAAAGAUAUAUGACUAUGAAAUCAUGGAUAGAGGGACCAAAAAAAAUAGAAAUUGAACAGGUGCUCAUCAGCUAAUAAUGGAAGAUAUGUAAGAAGACUGGCAGACCCACGUGAAAGUCAAAGCUGUAUACAGAGACAAUAGGGAAAAGUCAAAUGGCUCAUUGUCUGUAUAAACAGAGAUCCCUGAAUAGUCUUGUAUUAACUGUCCCAGAUAGCAGUUCACAGUGAAAACGUAUUUUGGUGCUGAAUUUGUCACUCACAAUCUGAUUGAGUUUUGGGUGACUUUGCUGGCAUCCUAUUGUCAGAGAAUGCUGAGGAAAUCACUAUGACUUGCAGAAUCCAGAGUCCCUGUUUUCUCCGCCCUCUUCAGUUCUCUUCCAAUUAUCCAUGCCCAUCAUGUUCAACUCUCAAGUGUGCAGUGAUGCUCUUGUUCUGCCACCUCACUUCCCAGAAGUCUUGGAAACUAUCCCUAAGGGACCUGGUGAUGCUCUUCUCCACCCCAUCACUACAACCAGGCCUAAUCCACCCCAUCACUAUUCCCUAAAACCACACAAGUCAUCUUCUCCCAUGGACAAUUGUCAUUGCCAAGUGAAUAUUGAAUGUUAUCCUGACUCUGUAUGUGUACCCUUUGUGUAUCCCAUCUCAGGACAUGUUUUCCUAUGUGGACAUAUAGCUGUCCACUGCCCUCUUCUAGAUGUAACACCUCUCUUACUCUGGGAAUAUCUCUACAGUCUUCAUAGUGGCUAAGAACCCUCCAGGACACCUGUCCUUAAGGUCUCUGGAACCAGCACUGGGGCCUCCUCAUGGCAUCUAGGAAACAGAUUUUUACCAGUUUGUGUGAACAUUCUGGACUUGGAUUGGUACUUCUAAGGCCAAGACAUAAUCUUCAACCUACUGGCUACCCUAAAACACAUUUUCCAGAGCCAAUCAGUAUCUCAGUCCUGAACAGAACAGCCUUGACCCCCUUUCCCAGGUCAUGUAGAUAGGCACAUAGCCCUGGGAGAAGUAUAUGUGGUGUAAAACAUCUCCUGCCCUCAGCCUUGGGCUCAGUGAGUAAUCCAAGCAGUAUCUCAGGAUCAGGCUGUGUGGCUCCAGGAUCUUUCUCAGUCUGCACCUUGGGGUUUUCUCCUCUUGCUUUAGGCUGGGCUCCAUGCUGGGCUCAGAAGAGCUCUUCAGAUCCCUGUGGUGUGCUUUAUAGUAUUUUUGAGACCUCUCUCAUCACACAGUGACUCCUCUGAUGUCAUCAGCAAGCUUUGAAGGCUCCAUUUAAAGUCUUAUUAUUUUCCUGAUGGGGAAGGUUAUAUUCAAUUAGUCCCAAAGGUCCAAAGAAAGACUUCAGACUGAAGACAGACAAACCUUU